rnacentral:misc_RNA from 1 species
GAUUAAGAACGUAGCGAAAUGCGAUAAGUAAUGUGAAUUGCAGAAUUCAGUGAAUCAUCGAAUCUUUGAACGCACAUUGCGCCCCCUGGUAUUCCGGGGGGCAUGCCUGUCCGAGCGUCAUUACAACCCUCAAGCUCAGCUUGGUGUUGGGCCCCGCCGCCCCGGCGGGCCCUAAAGUCAGUGGCGGUGCCGUCCGGCUCCGAGCGUAGUAAUUCUUCUCGCUCUGGAGGUCCGGUCGUGUGCUCGCCAGCAACCCCCAAUUUUUUUCAGGUUGACCUCGGAUCAGGUAGGGAUACCCGCUGAACUUAAGCAUAUCAAUAAGCGGAGA